UAUAUAGCCAGCCUCCCAGUGUGCACUCCUCAAACUCUUGUCCUCUCUCCCAGAGCCUGCCCAGGACUGCGUUUGCCAGGACCACCAGCCACUCCUGAUUCUGGCUCAGAUGAGGACCUGCUACCCUGCUAAGAUGGCUUUCCAGGAAAGGAUGUUGUAAUGUUCCUUCCAGAACUCUUCAAGGGUUAAAUCUGUAUCUGAGACCAUCUGAAGCACAAGCAGCCAGCAUUUGGUCAUAAGUCAAGACUUUGGUGCUUUCCUUCUAUUGAAAACUGCGCAAAACUCUUCAAACUCUGUGCCCUGAGGAAACAGAGCAAAGUUUUGUAACUAAUGCUUCAUCUGGUGAUAAUUGAAAGUGAUGGCUGGGGGGCUAAUUCAUGCCAUUUGAGAUGCCAGGGCACCAUAUCCAAGGUAUAAAAAAUGGGAGAAGAAACAAUAACAUCAAAAGAAAUUGAAAGUUUACAUCUAAGAUUCAGCAAGGAAUAGAGGAGGAGUACUGAUCAGAAAGAACUGCAUAGCUGUGUGGCCAAGAGUUUGGCUUCCCAGAGGACAGACUCUGGCCUACCAGGCUAGAACUUUCUGUGAGACCUUGUGCUAAUGGUUUAACUUACAGAACCUCAGUCUACUCACCUGUAGCUGGGUGCCCGCCUACAUGUUAGCAUUGUCAGCAUUAAGUUGACCAAUGAGGAUUUUGCCAGCAGAAGAAUGGCUUCUCUAGUCGCCUUAAUUUUUGUUUUGACAAAACUUUGCUAUCGUUCAAAAUGGGCCUCGAGACCUGUAUAAAUGGAUGCGGUCAGAAACAGAUUCCCAAUUCUAAGUGGCCAAUGAAAAGGAAUAAAAGGUAAGGCCUAGCUCUAGGCCAGACCUUUGGAAACCUUACCCCUAACUCGGAUAUGUCCUAACUGGACUGUCCUUCGAUGGAUUUGAUAGUAUUUAUGUACCUGACUGAGACAAAACUACUAAAAUUGGAAGAUGGGAGAGAUUUGUGGGUUAAGAAAUUUGAGCUUUAAGCGUCUUCAGCCAAAGUUACUUAAUUUCUUUAAAUCUGAGUUUGAAUCUGAUCAUUCUCGCUAAUUCAUCCCUGCCCACAUAGUCAUCCACACCACUAUCUGUAGAUGCCCUUGCAUUGUAUUUAGGAUAAUGUCCCAACCACAGCCCUCCGGAUCUGCCAGCUGCCUGUCUCACUAGUCUUAUCUCUCACACGUUCUCUUAGCUCCAAAAAUAGUGGCCUCAUUUUCAGUCUGUCAGAAUUGCUACUUGACAUAUUUUUGUUCCUGGGUUGUCCAACAGCAUCUUUUUUUUUUUUUUUUUUUUGGUAUCGAUGAUCAAACUUGGGACCUUGUCCUUGUGAGGCAAGCAGCAGAACCACUGAGUUAAAUCCCUGGCCCCUCCAACAGCAACUUAAUCAUCUGUCUGCAAUGAUUUUCACUCCUAACAUCAGUACCACCACCCCCUUUGCCUUCAUAAACCUUAAUAACAAGGCUUACCUUAGUUGCCUUCUUUUUUCGUACCCAUUGCUUCACAAUGCCUCUUCCCUCAGCAGACUCUGAGAUGUCACCAUCUGUGCAGAGCUUAGUGCUCAAGUGAAGUGGGGAUAUGAGAUUUAUCUUUUUCACAGCUACAUCCCAGAAUCUAGCCCCUGGCUCCUCCUAAAACACACUAAUGGUUGAGUGAAACCCUCCCUAUCUACCUCUGUAGACUGAUAAAAAAUGGAGAUGAUGUCUGUACAGUGCUUAACAUAAUUCUUGGCCAUGGCAAAUGUCUUAGUGUUGGCUGUUGUUAAUGAUGCAAAUAUUUAAGUGAUAAAUUUGUUUCAUUUCUAAAUUCUUUGGUGGGCACAUCUCUAAAUGGGAGAGUAAAAAGAAGAUAAAUAAUCUGGUAUUUGGUACCCAUUCUUCUCAAUACCAUUAAAGUUUUAAAGCAGAAUGAGAUGAAAUAAUGUCCCAAGCCUACAAUUGAAGCCAGGACUUUGAUCUGUUGGAUCCAGUAUAAUUGUAUGUUUCCAGAACCCUGGAGUCUGGCUGUGUACCAGGUGCAGGCAUCCAUAACCCAAUCCAUCAAUCAGAUGUCACAAAUUUAGAAGACUUUUUUCUCUUUAAAUAGAAAUAUGAGCUAUGCCUAUGGGAAUCUACAUGUUAGCACUUGGAAAAUGACUACAGUGAAUAUCACAUAAAAACACAAUUUACAAAAGAUAAUUAUGGAGUCCACAUGAAACUCUUACAUAUGAAUCUUCUCCCUGAAUAAUCAAAGAUAAGUACCUUACUUACAGCUGUAAUCUAAAAUAGGAUUUUCAUAGUAGAAACUAGGUUACACCAACAUUGGUGCAUUAUACUGUUUUAAAUAAAUGUAUAAUUUAUUUUCAACUUAUCAGGUCUCUUACAUUAUAAACUUUACUGGAAAUCUAACACAGGCAGGAUAGUAAUGAUUCUUAGUGUUGGAAGAACUUUCAUAUGUUAGAAGAAAGAAGGUGGUAGGCCAUGUGUCAGGGUGAUAUUUUAAAUUCUAUUUUUAAAGGCUGGCCCAAAACUGUGUGAGAAGGGAGCAAUGGGGGACAUUUGAGAAAGGGAAUGAAAACUGGAAUACUUUCUACAAAACUGGAAUACAUUCUCCAAAGUAUUAUUCCUUUACUCUUAGUAUCCCAAGACUCUGGCUUCUUCUACCAGUAGAUUUGGUGUAUCAGUGAGGGAUGCAUUUGGCUACAAGUAACAGAAAACUCCAAAAGCAAUGUCUUCAACAAAUAGGAGAUUGUUUUUUACAUAUUACAGAACACCGUAGUUAGAUGGGUGCUGGCAUUGUUCACAGAUCAUGAUGCCACGGCAGAUCCUGGUUCUUCUAUCUUUCUCAUGGGCCCUCAAGAGUGCCUUUUAGUCCAAGAUGUUGGCUUCUAGUUAGGGCAUCACUUCUGCUUUCAAAGCUCAAGGAAAGAGAGGAAUCCAUCUCCUUUUAACAGAAAAUCAAAAGCUUGUACCAGUACCCUCAGGUAAAUAUCUACUUAUUUCACAGGGAAUAACUAGCAGUGAUAAGCACUUGAGUUAGUGCUUUUAUAUUAUCCUAGUUGCAGAUGAGAAGCAGGGCAGGGGAGGGGGUGGGUGGGUGUUGCUGACCUGGAAGAAUUAAUCAUGCUCUCUUGUUAAGCAGUAGAUGAAUAAAAGAUUUGACAAGCCAUUUCUGGCAGCUCCCAAAUCCGUAAUUGUUUAGCUAGCGAAAGAACUCAUUGAUAAUAUGUUGCCACUCCCGUACAUUUGAAAAAUCAUUGAUAUUUUGAAUAAGAUAGCCAUUUUAGGCCAGCUAGAUGCAUUUCUAACAGAAAGAAGAUAAGAGACUGGGUGACCCCUGCCAGUGGUUCACCUGGAUGCCCACAUGUCCCUGUACUUUAUAACUAUUCAGGCCUUCCUUGUGUCCAGGUUGGCAUGUAGACUUUUUGCCAAGUAAAAAGCAAUCUGAAAAUCUUCACUCUCUCCCACUUACAGAAGCCACCAGAGCAUUUCUUCCUCUGCCCCUAAUGGGAAACACAUGGGGAUCAUUGAACUUUGGGAGCCCUUCUAUGCUCAAAUUAUGUUUCUAAAGCAAGGGCUAUGAUAAAGUAACCUCUAAACAUGACUCUGGCAAAAGUCAGUAGUGUUGCUUAUUCUGGCCAUAUUUCUCAUGCAAUCCAGGGCUCUGGGAAGAUUUGCUUUAAUUACAACCUCUUCUUCCUCUUCUUUCUCUGACACUAAUGAUCUCUUACAUAAUGUGUAGUACACUCACCAAAACUGAAAUUUUUCUUCUUGAGCUAAUUAAAUGGAUGCAAUUUGCACUUGGCUUGUUUUCUUUUAGAAGAUCUGGUUAAAUUAGCAUGUGGAAUUGUUUUUCUAAAGCAUGUAUCACUUAAACUAGCUUUCUUUAAUUUAGGGAUCUGAGUGAAGCUUUCACUUUUCUGUGACAGUGAUAACAAAAAGAUUUAUGAUAGUUUCUAAUUUUUUUAGCUAUAUAAUACCCUAUGAAGAACAUUUCUUUUCAAAGCAUCUUCUUUUAUAAAGAUAAAUUUUGUUGUGUAUAUUUGAUGUUUGCAAUAUGAUGUUAUGAGAUACAUAUAGAUGGUAAAAUGGUUACUACAGUAAAGCAAAUUAACAUUAUCACGUAGUUACUUGUUUGGGCCUCAGAGAAGAGCGUAUCUACUUAUUUAACAAAAAUCCCUAGUACAGUAUAACUUUAUUAACUUUAGUCAUGUUAACACAUGUUGUACAUUAGGUCUCAAGACUUGUUCGUCCUACAUAUCUGCUGUGUUGCAUCCUUUGGCCUACAUUUCCCCAGUUUUCCACCCCUUCUCACCCCCUCCUCUAGUAACUAUUAUUUUAUUCUCUAUCUCUAUAUGUGUUGUUAUGGCUUGUGUCUAGAUGUCCCCACAAAGCCUCAUGCAGUCAUAGGUGGGACAUUUUUUGAGGUGACUGAAUCUAGAGUGUGUGAUUAAUUCUUGGAGCAAUGCUAGGCUCAAGGGCACUAAGAUUAAGGUUGUGAGUGCUACACACCAUAAGUAGUCUGGAUAAGAUAUAAGGGAUAGAAAGAGCUGUGGUUGUCCCUUGUUGUUUUUGCUGUGUUCCACCUCCAUGAACUGUUGCCCCUCUGCCAUGUGUCAUCCUCCCUUGGACCCACCCAAUUAUGAACUGAAACCUCCACAAACUGUGAGCUAAAUCAACCUUUCUACCUUUAACUUUGAUGUCAGGUAUUUUAUUUCAGCAACAAGAGAAAAGUAACUAAGACAUGUGUUUAACCUUUUUUCCAGAUUCCACAUAUAAGUGAGAUUAUGUAAUAUUUUUCUUUCUGGUCUGGCCUUAGCAUAAUGGUUUGCAAAUCCAUCCAUGUAUGAUAAAGGGCAGGAUCUCCUUUUUUAAGGCUGAAUAAUACAUUAUAUUAUACACAUUUUCUUUAUCCAUGUGUCUAUUGAUGAACAGUUAGAUUGUUCCCAUUUCUUGGCUAUUAUGAAUAAUACUGCAAUGAACGUGGGAAUGUAGAUCUCCUUACAAAGUGGUGAUCUCUGUUUCUUUAGGUGUAUAUACUCAGAAAAAGGGUUGCUGAGUUAGGUAGUGGUUAUAUUUUUAAAUUUCUUUAGGGGCCUUCAUAAUGUUUACCAGAAUGACUGCACCAAUCUACACUCCCACCAAAUGUAUAGGGCUCCUUUUUCUUCAGAUCCUUGGUAACAUUUGUUAUUUCUUGAUCUUUUGAUAACAGCCAUCUUAAUGGGUUGUGGGGUAGUAUCUUACGGAGCUACUGCUUUAAUGUGCAUUUCCCUGAUGACUAGUGAUGGUGAGUGCCUUUUCCCAUCCUGGCUGCCCAUUGAUAAGUAUUCUUUGGAGAAAUGUUGGCUUAGGUCUUUCAUAUAUUUAUUAACUGAAUUAGUUUUCUGCUCUUGAGUUGUAAGAGUUCUUUGUAAAUUUUGGAUAUUGACCCUUUAUCACAUAUGUAAUAUGAAAAUGGUUUUUCCUAGUCCUCAGUUUGUCUUUUAAUUUUAUUUUUUUCUUUUGUUGUCCCCAAGAUUUUCAGUUUAAUGUAAUCCCAUUUAUUUAUUUUUGCCUUUGUAGCUUGAGCUUUUGGUUAAACGUUUUUCCCAAAAAAUAUUCAAAUGAGUCCUCAUGAGAAUUGGUUAAUUUCCAAAAAGCUUUGCAUGAAACAUAAUUAACAAAAAUUAACAUUUUAGUUAAUGCUAAAAAGACUCCAUUAUUUAUGAAUCAUGAAAAUAUUAGCAUACAUUAGAAAACCAGAUCAUAUUAUUGACCACAAAAUGCAUAAAUCUUUAAUUUUUGCCUGCAGUCCAAUAGCAUCUCAAUGUAACAGGUAUUAACUGAGCACCUUACUUAUGUGCCAGACAGUCUGCUCUGAGCAUAGAGAAGAAAUAGACACUGAAGAGCCUGAUCUCAAAGGACUCAUUAAGAGGAAGCAGACAUAUAAACAGAUAAGCAUUGAUCCUCCACUUACAAUAGGAUGAAGUCCUGAAAAAAUGAACUUAAUAUGUUUGUCAAACAUCAGAGCUUAGCUGUGGAGAGUAUCGGCUUACCUUUGUGAUUGUGUGGCUCAGUAGGAGCUGCCACUUUGCUGCAUCCUCUGAGUUCAUACUGCAUAUCACUAGCCCAAGAAAAGGCCAAAAUUCCAAACUGGAAGUAUAAUAUCUUCUGAAUGCUUACCACUUUGUACCAUCAUAAAGUUGAAAUAUCAUUAGUCAAGACAUCAUAAGUCUAGGACUGUGUAUAUUAACAAUGGGAUGUGAGCAAACAGGCAUGAGACAAAAACAUUGUGAAACUGGGCUCAGCCCUGUUGAAGGAUGGUGAAACAGAAGAUGGGAGAGAGUUUAGAAGGAAAGUGAUGCCCCAUAGUGGGACUGAGAAAGGAAUGAGGAGGGGCAUUCUUGGCAGAGGGAAAUCAAGUAAAGGGUGGACUAAAGUGCAAUUAAGAUGUAACAAACAGUUGAACUAAGUGCUGGAGAAACCCGGGUGUGGGAUGAAUUUGCAAUACAUUGGAAGUAAAACUGAACACCCCAAGAUUUGAUUUAGUAUCUUCCAAAAAGGUCUCCAAAGAUGAGACUUCACUUAUGGUUCAAAAAAAUCCAGCUGUUUUUGCCUUCUUCAUAGAUCACCUGAUUUGAAGCAAAGUUUCAACAGACACUAAAUGGACAUAAUCUGUUUGCACUUGAAUAUUGUAUACACUUAGAGCCUAUGGCUGUAUGCACAAACAAUCUUUUCAAGGUAUUUGCUCUUGGUACAUAGCAACAGGCUGAGGGCAAAAUAAAAAAAAAAUGACAUAAGUAUUUGGUAUUCAUGGAGAAGAAAACUAACCAGCUUUUUCAUUAGCCUUUGUAUCUCCUCUCUUCCUAAAUGGAGGAGUUACUUGGUCACCUACCACUGCUUAUGCAGAAAAGCCUUCCCAAUUCUGCCUGAGAAUGGCCAAGCAGCAAAUUGCCUUAUUCAUUCAUCCUGUCAACAUGUUCUGAGAUGCCUGGAACCAGGGAGAUAGAAAUCAAGAAAUGAUCCUUACCCACAAGGGAGAUGUAAACAGAUACUCUUAGUAGAGUGUGAUAAGCACUUUAUUAGAAAUAAGGCCAGAGUUUUGAAAGAAUGCAGAGAAAUGAGCUAACUCUAUCUGGUGGCCAAAGUAAAACCUUACAAUAGAGGUGAUAAUGAAGCUUUGCAGACUUUCAAAGCAGGGAGAAAGAGGGACAUGUGGUAGCAUUUCAAAUGCAAGAAACUAUGAAAGAUUAUAUUAUUGUUGUUGAUUCUUCCUUCUACCUCUGUGUGAUAGGUUUAUAUUUCUAUGAUCCAAUUAAGGUAAGAUUUGGUAGUGUAAAUUCCUUAGGCCAAAAUAAAAUGUUGGUAGAAAUGUUUUCUGCUACUUCUAAGCAAAACCUUUCAGAUCCAUGUGUUAGCUUUUCUGUUACUAUUUCAGGUUUCAGAGGUUUCUGUUCAUAGUUGCCUGGCUCCAUAGCUGUCCAGGUGGUAGCAAGGCAGAAAGAACAUUGUGGGAAGGAGUACAUGGUAGAACAAAGCUGCUCACCUCAUGGCCAUUGAGAGGGAUAGAGAGACAGAAAGAGAAAGAAGGAAGAAGAAAGGGAGGGAGAGAUGGAAAGAAAGAGAGAGAAAGGCCUGCGGCACCAUAUACCUUUCUGGGGCCAUGUUCCCAGGGACCUACUUCCUCCAACUAGGCCCCACCACCUGAAGUUUCCACCACCUUCCAAUGGCCCAUUAAUCUCAUGAUCCAAUCAUUGCCAAAAGCUCUAAAUCUAAAUAUUGCUACGAUCUAUCACAACAAUCCAAUCUGAUCUUUUUUGCUGCUAUGUGAGAAAACAGUUUCCAGGAAGAGGUUGCUCUGAUUUUUUUCCAGAAUAAAGACUCUUGGAGUAGAGCUGAGGCUGACCUGCAUCUAACCUUUAAUACAAGCAAGGGAUAAACUUAUGAUGUUGAAACCACUGAGACAUGGGGACAGUUGUUACAGCAGCAUACCUUAGACAAGCUGACUAACAUACAUAAUAAAUGCAAAGUUAAAAAAAGACAAAAUGUUUAAUGGCAAGAACUUCAGCGUUUAGAGAAUAGAUAGUUAGAAAUAAGCCAGAAAAGUAUCUUGGGGACAGAUUUUUGAAGGGUCUUAAAUGUCCUACUAAAAAUGUUGAACUUUAAUCUUUAACUACAGUUUGUCUCUUUGAAAAAUGAUCCUAAGAGGAGUAGAAAGAAACCAGUACCAGGAAAAUCAGCUGAUAGUUAUAUCAUUAACAACUACCACUUAUUGUGCACAUACUCUAUACUAACUAUUAGUAACUAUACUAGUUACUUGGUAACUAAAAUAAUCCUCCAAAUAAUCCUAUGUGGUAGAUAUGGGAAUGCUUGCUUUUUUCACUGUGCCACACCAUAAAUGGUGAUAGAGUCAGAACUCCAUCCCAAGCAGUCUGGGUGCUGAAUCCACCCUAUCACCACUAUGGUACAUAGCAGCAUCUGAGCAAAAGAGACAUGUGAAGGGGGUAUGAGCAAAGGGGGCAUGAGUUGGAGAUUAGGGGUAACAGAACUAGAGAGACCAGAGAUAAUGCCCCAUUUUUAAACUUGAGAUGCAGAACAGGUGAUGGUACCAUUAAUGUAAAUGAGGAAUGCAAGAAAAGCAGUUUUGGAGAGGAAAAUGAAGAGUUGAAUUUGGAAUACAUUAAGUUUGAGACAAAUGUGCAGCACCAGGUAGAGGUUACCUAUUGGCUAUCAGAAUAUAGUUCUGAGCCAGGUGUGGUCAUCCAUCCCUGUAAUCUCAGCACUGGGAAGGCUGAGGCAGGAUGAUUGCUGUGAGUAUGAGGCCAGCAUGGGCCAGCCUGAACUACAUAGUGAGACCCUGUCUCAAAAAACAAAAACAAAAACAAAACCAGAAUAUAGUCCCUAAGCUCAAGAGAAACAUGGAGUGGAGACAGAUCCAUCUGGGGGAGAAGGGUAGAGAGUGGAUUAAUUCACCUUGGCAUAUAUGGAGAGCAACUUGAGAAGAACAUCGGGAACAGAAAUUAGAGCAACUCCAUCAUCUAAGAAGUAGAUCUGGAAGGAGGAUCCUGGGAAAUUUUAACUGAGAGUGAUAAAAGAGAGGAAGGUGUCAGAGAAUAGAGGAUGGAUUUUCAAGAUAGUCAUCCUCAAUGACUUCAAACUGGAAGAAUUGUGAGGUAACCACAGCCACCCCUGUGGUAUGCUCCUGCCAGGAUGACUGAGAAACAAGAACCCCCACUCAUAGCUGCAUGCGAAGUGUACAUCAUGAACAUCUUGAUGAUCUCAGACUUGAGUGCUUAUUUAUAACUCCAGAACUGCUUAUGAACUUUUAAAAUAACAGGUUCCCAUAAAAUAGGGGGGAGGUGUUGCUUUAAUUUGCAGGAAUUGCAUAAUUCCAAACAUGGUAAUGAAAGAAUUUGAAAGUAAAAUCUCUGCUGGAAAUCUCCAUUACCUGGAAGAACCAGAUUUUUAGAUUCACUUCUUAUGUGUUCUCCAUUAACACUAUUAAAUUUCAACAGCCUAUAACUAGUUAGAAUAAUAAUAAAGAUAUUAGAAUAUAAUAAAUAUAUUUAUUUAAUAGAAUUCCUGAAGUUUUUUACAAGAAUUUUUUGCAUAUGAGUAACUCAAAAUUAUACAGAGUGUAUUAUGGAAUAUUCUAUGGGGAAUGUACCACAUGCAUGCUUUAUACUAGAAGAAAAUGUUAUUGUGUUCAUUAUACAAAUGAAUUCCUUGGCUAGGGCAUCUCAAAUUGUUGUGGUAUAUUGAUAUGGUAUUUGAAAAAUGUUCCAUGGGAACAAAGCUUGGAAACUUGAAGUUAAACAAUCUAAACUUUUAAAAUUUUUUUCUGACUCUGAGAGCCUUUAUGUUGAUUUACAUAAUAUAGCUGUAGAGAUAAGUAUAGUAUAUAACAGGUACUAGGCUUAUCUGACCAUAGAUUCCUUCUUUUAUUUCUUCAUAAACUCUUGACCUACUUUAUUAAAUGUCCUAUGUGGUAGAUUAUAUUUCUGUUCAAAAUGCUUGCUGCUCCUCCCUCUUGUAUUCUUUUCUAUAAAUGUUUUAUCCUUUCUGCUCCACUGAACACAGGAGUGGUCAUCCAACCUGUUUUGGCCAAGGUGGCUAGAGUUCAUCUGUGUCACUUGUGAGCAGAUCCUUCAAAAGACAGCUGUUAUUCACCUAUUAUUUUCAGCCUCUGCUAUAAGACCAACUAUAUCACAGGAAGUUUAUUCAGAUAUCCAGUGCUCUGCCAUGUCCUAUGAUGGAAAUGUAAAAGCAUAGAAAAUAAAUUGUCAUUAAUAUUUUGAAGCACUUGCUAUCACACAUCACUUAGCCAAAGUUGACUAAUAUAUACUUCCUCUAAAUUACCAGCUCCUUUCUCAUUUAUGACACAUACACACUUUCUGUGUCAGACUUCGAAAUGAUGAAAUGUUCUCAGAUUUUUAUUUGAGUCAGAGCAGUAGUUCUUGAAGGUAAAUGGAAGAGAAAAGAAAGAAUAUAUAUAUAUGAAACAUAACUUGAUGCUUAAACUCUUAAACUCUUAAAUCUAGGAGUUACCUAAAAUUUUGUCAAAAAUGGGUAUUCCCAGACUCAAUUCCCAGAGACUCUGAUGCAAUGGACCUGAGGUGGGUCCAAGGAAUCUAAAUUAGAAACCAGUUGUUAUCAACCAAUAAAUGCAAGUGACCCAUCAGCCAAACAUUAGGGGAUGUUGUUCUAAAGCCACUCAUUUGCUUAGCAGUCACAUGAUGACAUGUAUUUAAAUAAGUACCAUUUCAGUAGAAGGAGACAACAUGGAAAGUUCUCUUUGAAAACACCAUAGGCAUGAAUGAAAUCAGUUUAGCUUAUAGUCAUGAUAUUUCAAUGCAAAAUAUUUUAUGUACAAAAUAGUACUUUCAUGUUUGAAUGCCUUUCUUAUUCAAAAUCCUGGCUCUAAGGGAUUCUUAUCUCUUUAAAAAAAAUAAUAAUCUGCUUUAAAAAGUUUAAGUUCUGCUACCAAUGAAGAAUAAGGAUCAUUUCAGCUACAUGUUACAGAAACCUAAUUCAAACUGAUUUAAGCAAACCAAAUGUAUUGGUUACAAAUCUAAACCAUCCAUGCUUUUUGAGAGAAUGGAGUUUAGUUACUGGUUGACAGGGCCAGAGGAACUGGAAGUAAGAAUUGCUUUUGGGAAGGUGUUGGGGAUGAGGAUGCUAUCAGCAAUCAUGCAGAGCGAAGAUAGUGUGCAGAUUCUUAUGGCAGAAAGACCAGG
ensembl:lncRNA